CUAUCUAAAUGCCUGUUUGGUGCCCAAUGAUGCGCAAAGCGCAGGGCUCAAUCGGGAACGGGGAAGGGUGGACCAAGUUGCGGCACCCAAAGCCCCGGCCGCCCCCGCGACUGUAUGCGGCGAGCGCGCUCUGAAAGACCACUGGGGGGCAACCCUUGGGAAGGUAGAGUGUCGCCUCGACCCGCGAGCCAGGAAACCGGCCAUCAGGUCAACUCAAAC
rnacentral:ncRNA from 1 species